UCUAUUUAUAUAGUUUAGAGAAAAACAUUACAUUUUCAUUGUAGAGUCAAAUUUAGUUUUUAUA
rnacentral:tRNA from 1 species